rnacentral:rRNA from 1 species
UGGGGAAUAUUGCACAAUGGGGGGAACCCUGAUGCAGCGACGCCGCGUGAGUGAAGAAGUAUUUCGGUAUGUAAAGCUCUAUCAGCAGGGACGAAGAUGACGGUACCUGCAGAAGAAGCCCCGGCUAACUACGUGCC